CGUCAUCUUCUGCAAGGACAGGGAAGAGGUUUCAUCCCAGCGGGGUUCAGAAGAGAAGGCCAUCUACGACUAUAACCAUGUGGUGUCUGGAGUCAGUUCUGGGAAUUACACCUGUGGGUACGAGAUCAAGGACAGUGACAACCAGGUGACCAGAUCCCAGCUCAGCCCUGCCCAGCGCCUCAGCCUCACUGGUAAUGACUCCAGCAGCGGCGAUACCGGGGGUUCCUCCUCCCAAGGGCUGGAUCUAAAUCUGCUAUUGGGAAUUACAGUCCCUGCCAUCCUGGUUCUGGCUGUGGUGCUUUAUCUGCUGGGAAAGAAAGUUGCAUCUCUACCAAGGGAUCAAAGG